CGGGGAUCCACGCCGAGGCUCCACCCCUCCUUAGGGCAGAGGAGGAAACAGAUUCAGAUGGCAAAGGCAGAAAACGGGACGUGCUACUUUACCAGCACAUCACUGGGGGUAGGAGAUGAGGUCAGAGAACUCGCCAGGCCCAGAUCACCCAGCGCCUGAGUGGCUGGAGGUUAAGUGAGUUGGGUUUUUACAGGGUCCCUCUGUGUGGGUGUGGGGGGAAAGCUGAGAGGCCGAGGAGCAGGCAGAUGUGGUCAUCCAGGUAGGUUUGCCAGACUUAGCAAAGAAAAAUACAGGAUGCAUGCACUACUCGGGACAUACCUAACUAAAGAAUUAUUUGUUGUUUAUCUGAAAUUCCAACUUAAAACACUGGGUAUCCUGUAUUUUAGCUAGCAACCCAGGUGGCAGGUGGAAGAUGGAGAUUCACGAUUGCUUCUGGAAGACUCGCUGUGUGAUUCCGCCCACCCCAUGGCCAUUCCCUCCUCCUGAGAUGUUCAGAGCAGGAUUCCUACCUAGUGCCCCGCCAAACAUGGCCCACACCCCAAGUCACCCUGGACCACACCCGCCCCUCCGUCAUUUCCUACAGGCUUUUCCUGCAGAUUGAGAGAGGAAACUGGGCAGGGAGCACACCACUGAUGGGUGAAAUGAUGAUCUCACAGGAAACCAGACAAGCUAGAGUUGUCACCACACCCUGGACUCAGAGAACUUGGGUACUUCACCGACGGCCACCUCCCAUCGCCCUUUCAUUCUUCAUGGGCAGGGCCUUGCAAGCCUUGGUGAUGGAUUUUAUUCCAUGAGAUGGGGCAGCUGUUGCAGGAACACGAUUUGAGUUGUUUUUUGAAAGAUUGCUCUGGCUACUGUGCAGAGUGGCUUCUCAGGGUGCACACGGGGGAGAUGUCGUAGGACAACUGGGUGUUGGAUCUGGAGCUCAGGGAGAACAACCCUCAGAGGAGAUGGCCCCUGGCUGAGCCUGGAGAUACCACCAUUCCAGAGAAGAGCAGAGGGCCAGGAGAAGGGGCGUGUGGCUGUGUGGUUGACAUCUCGAUGACAUGUGCUGUGUGUGUCCCUCACAGACUUGGGAUCUUUCUGGGAGGCAAACACAGGCCUUGGGGAAUGUUCUGGGAUGGGCGAUGUCAGCCUCAGUGUGUUUGCUCAGCUGCUGGGCUCUCUUGGGACCAUAGAGGACUGCAGCACCAAUGGUGGAACUCCAGGCGUGGUGACAGGAUGUGACCAGGUUCCCCCACCCAGGUCUGUGGUCAGCCUGGCUGUGCUGAAUGGUGGAAGCAGGGGUGAGGCCCCGAGAGGUGUCUGGAGCCAUCUGGCCGUGAGGUCAGCCACCCAGCCAGGCCUCUGGAAGCCAUGGGCAGCCACUUCCCAGAUGCGGCUUCCUGCCCUUUCCUCCACCAAAACCACACUCAGCUCAUAGGCUGGCCUCAGGGGCAGUCCCUUUCCCACGGGGAGGGCCGCAUGCAAAUGCCACACUGAGCUGAGCCAAGGCAGGGGUCAAUUCUGAAGGCCUGGAUCCUCCAUGUCCUAUGGGCAGGUCAACCACAACAAAGCCCAGCCUGCCCAUCAAGCCCCACUGCUUUCCACUGCUUUGGUGCCUUCGCCUCUCUGGGUGAACCCUGCUCACCCUGAGCCCCUGCAUGUAAGGCACUUUUAGAUGCAAUCAUCCCCUGCGAUUUUCCUGAUACAGGGAGAAGAAGGCAGGUGGCCCUGGCCACUGUGUGUGCUGACGCAGAGCGAACAGGCAGCAGCACUGGAGGGAGGGAGGAGUGUGUGUGUGGCUGUGCGUCCUGUGUGUGGAUUUUUGUGUGCAAGUCCCGUGUGUGUACCUAGCAUGUAUGUCCCAGUAGCUUGUGUGUACCUGUGCCCUGGGUGUGUGCUUGUGCAAAUC
rnacentral:lncRNA from 1 species